rnacentral:rRNA from 1 species
GACGAAGGGGGGCUAGCGUUGUUCGGAAUUACUGGGCGUAAAGCGCGUGUAGGCGGUUGUCCAAGUUGGAUGUGAAAGCCUUGAGCUUAACUCAAGAAAUGCAUUCAGGACUGGAUGACUAGAGGACCGGAGAGGAUAGUGGAAUUCCCAGUGUAGUGGUGAAAUACGUAGAGAUUGGGAAGAACACCAGUGGCGAAGGCGGCUAUCUGGACGGUUUCUGACGCUAAGACGCGAAAGCGUGGGGGAGCAAACAGG